UCACAUGGGGAUCACUCUAAAGGGAUUAAGAUCUUUGCUUUUUUAGCACAGCAAAACCAGUGAGACCUGAUGGGUUUUAUGGGACAUCCCUGGAGCUGAGAGCCAAUCCAUCUACCAAGUCCUGGCACUUCCAUGGAAACAUGAUGGGUCUAACAAGACCAGAAUGGCUGAAGUACCACAACUAUCAGCAUGCACUAUUGUUGCUUUGCUGAAGACCGAAAUGGAUGGAAGAAAAUCCUGCCUGAGACAAGACAAUGGCAUGUUCUCAAAAUGAAAAAUAGCAAGAGCAGUGGAAGUUACAUACACAAAACCUUCUGUUCCCGUCAUAAAUUGAUAAUCAUGCCAUCUUGGGUGGGAAGCUUAUUCUCAUCUCUGGGGUAUAAGCAGUGUGUUUCUACUGAUGAAGUGAUUAUGAAAUUUGAAAAGAUAAGCAAUCAUAAAGUUAAAAUUAUAAUACUGUUUGUGAUAUUGGACAAGAGGCAGUUACUCUCUGAGUAUCUUUGUGGAGCUGUU